rnacentral:rRNA from 1 species
GAUGAACGCUGGCGGCGUGCCUAAUACAUGCAAGUCGAGCGAACAGAUGAGGAGCUUGCUCCUCUGACGUUAGCGGCGGACGGGUGAGUAACACGUGGAUAACCUACCUAUAAGACUGGGAUAACUUCGGGAAACCGGAGCUAAUACCGGAUAAUAUAUUGAACCGCAUGGUUCAAUAGUGAAAGACGGUUUUGCUGUCACUUAUAGAUGGAUCCGCGCCGCAUUAGCUAGUUGGUAAGGUAACGGCUUACCAAGGCAACGAUGCGUAGCCGACCUGAGAGGGUGAUCGGCCACACUGGAACUGAGACACGGACCAGACUACUACGGGAGGCAGCAGUAGGGAAUCUUCCGCAAUGGGCGAAAGCCUGACGGAGCAACGCCGCGUGAGUGAUGAAGGUCUUCGGAUCGUAAAAAUCUGUUAUUAGGGAAGAACAAAUGUGUAAGUAACUAUGCACGUCUUGACGGUACCUAAUCAGAAAGCCACGGCUAACUACGUG